rnacentral:rRNA from 1 species
CCUACGGGAGGCAGCAGUGGGGAAUAUUGGACAAUGGGCGAAAGCCUGAUCCAGCCAUGCCGCGUGUGUGAAGAAGGCCUUCGGGUUGUAAAGCACUUUCAGUGGGGAAGAAAGCCUUGGGGCUAAUACCCUCGAGGAAGGACAUCACCCACAGAAGAAGCACCGGCUAACUCCGUGCCAGCAGCCGCGGUAAUACGGAGGGUGCGAGCGUUAAUCGGAAUUACUGGGCGUAAAGCGCGCGUAGGCGGUCUGAUAAGCCGGUUGUGAAAGCCCCGGGCUCAACCUGGGAACGGCAUCCGGAACUGUCAGGCUAGAGGGCAGGAGAGGAAGGUAGAAUUCCCGGUGUAGCGGUGAAAUGCGUAGAGAUCGGGAGGAAUACCAGUGGCGAAGGCGGCCUUCUGGACUGACACUGACGCUGAGGUGCGAAAGCGUGGGUAGCAAACAGGAUUAGAUACCCUGGUAGUC